rnacentral:misc_RNA from 1 species
AAGUCGUAACAAGGUAUCCGUAGGUGAACCUGCGGAUGGAUCAUUACAAAAUCUGAUACUUUACGUGUCAUUUCAACCAUUUGUGAACUGUUUGAAGCUUAACUGCUUCUAUACUUUUUAUAUCAUUUACACUUAUUACAUCACGAUUAUACCAAUUGUCAUAAAACUUUUAGCAAUGGAUCUCUGGGCUCUC